UCGAGCGGCGGACGGGUGAGUAAUGCAUAGGAAUCUGCCCAGUAGUGGGGGAUAGCCCGGGGAAACCCGGAUUAAUACCGCGUACGCCCUAAGGGGGAAAGCAGGGGAUCUUCGGACCUUGCGCUAUUGGAUGAGCCUAUGCCGGAUUAGCUAGUUGGUGGGGUAAGAGCCUACCAAGGCGACGAUCCGUAGCUGGUCUGAGAGGAUGAUCAGCCACAUCGGGACUGAGACACGGCCCGAACUCCUACGGGAGGCAGCAGUGGGGAAUAUUGGACAAUGGGGGCAACCCUGAUCCAGCCAUGCCGCGUGUGUGAAGAAGGCUUUCGGGUUGUAAAGCACUUUCAGUGAGGAGGAAAACUCUGCGACUAAUAUUCGUAGGGCUUGACGUUACUCACAGAAGAAGCACCGGCUAACUCCGUGCCAGCAGCCGCGGUAAUACGGAGGGUGCAAGCGUUAAUCGGAAUUACUGGGCGUAAAGCGCGCGUAGGUGGUUUGAUAAGCGAGAUGUGAAAG
rnacentral:rRNA from 1 species